UCUAGAGGCCAUGUUUUUCAUGGAAUCUGUAUGAAAGUUGGUCUGAAUAUUUAUCUUGAUGAUAUAUAGGUCAAGUUUCAAACUGGGUCAACUGCGAUCAAAAACUAGGUCAGUAGGUCUUGAAAUAGAAAAACCUUGUGACCUCUCUAGAGGCUAUACCCUUGAAUGGAUCUUCAUGAAAAUUUAUCAGAAUGUUCACCUUGAUGAUAUCUAGGUCAAGUUUGAAACUGGGUCACAUGCCUUAAAAAACUAGGUCGGUAGGUCAAAUAAUAAAAAAACCUUGUGACCUCUCUAGAGGCCAUACUUUUUCAUGGGAUCUGUAUGAAAAUUGGUCUGAAUGUUCAUCUUGAUGAUAUCUAGGUCAGUUUUGAAACUGGGUCAACUGAGGUCAAAAACUAGGUCAGUAGGUCUAAAAUUAGAAAAAUCUUUUGACAUCUCUAGAGGCCAUUAUUUCAAUGGAUCUUCAUGAAAAUUGAUCUGAAUGUUCACCUUGAUGAUAUCUAGGUCAUUUUCGAAACUGGGUCACAUGCGGUCAAAAACUAGGUCAGUAGGUAACGUGGGUCACGUGCUAUCAAAAACUAGGUCAGUAGGUCAAAUUAUAGGAAAACCUUGUGACCUCUCUAAAGGCCAUAUUUUUCAUGGGAUCUGUAUGAAAGUUGGUCUGAAUGUUUAUCUUGAUGAUAUCUAGGUCAUUUUCGAAACUGGGUCACGUGCGGUCAAAAACUAGGCCAGUAGGUAUAAAAAUAAAAAAACUUUGUGACCUCUCUAGAGGCCAUUUUUUCCAUGAGAUCUUCAUGAAAAUUAGUGAGAAUGUUCAACUUGAUGAUAUCUAGGUAAAGUUCAAAACAGGGUCACGUACCUUUGAAAACUAGGUCAAUAGGUCAAAUAAUAGAAAAACCUUGUGACCUCUCUAGAGACCAUAUUUUUCAAUGGAUCUUCAUGAAAAUUGGUCAGAAUUGUUAUCUUGAAAAUAUCUAGGUCAAGUUCAAAACUGGGUCACAUGAGCUCAAAAACUAGGUCACUAUGUCAUAUAAUAGGAAAAACGACAUCAUACACAAAACUGCGUCAUGUGGGAAGAGGUGAGUGAUUCAGCACCAUCAUGGUCCUCUUGUAUAUUUUCUGAGCUAUUGUAUAACUGUGUCAGAAAUUUGUGAGCAUUGAAUAUUUUUGUCUCUAAUCCUGUGUCAUGAACCAUUCAUCAAUUUUUUUGUCAAACUGCAACUGAUCAGCACACCCAUUUUACUUGCACAGCAAAUGCUUGUGUUUAUAAAAGUUGUUUUAGGAUGUGUGACUGCUACUGUUUCAGAUAAAUGAGCCGCACCAUGAGAAAAACAACAUAGUGCAUUUGGGACCAGCAUGGAUCCAGUCCAGCCUGCGCAUCCGCGCAGUCUGGUCAGGAUCCAUGCUGUUCGCUAACGGUUUCUCUAAUUGCAAUAGACUUUGAAAGCAGACAGCAUGGAUGCUGACCAGACUGCGCAGAUGCGCAGGCUGGUCUGGAUCCAUGCUGGUCGCAAAUGCACUAUGUUGGUUUUCUCAUGGCGCAGCUCAAAUUUAAAUACCAACAAAUUUGAUCUUACGCCAGAUUUCUUGUAAAUCCUGUUACUGAUUAUAUCUAAGUUUAUGAACACUUUGGACAUUUUAUUUACAAUGUUGAUAAGUAAGUAAUUUAUUUAAAUGUAUUCAAUGCCUAACUUUCACUUAAAUAUUUAAUCUUAAGGUAUUUACCAUUAAGUGUAUUUAACUUUACACAAUAUAUACAAAUUAAUUGUGCGUGUAGAGCUACGUUCAUAAUUGAGUGACAUGCGGUAACAGUCAUUUGAACACUUCCUGUUGUUUUUUUUUUUUUAGUGGUAGUAAACAUUUAUACUGUGUUUGGUUUUACAUGUGUUAAGUUUGUACUUUGAACCUAAUGCAUGUUACUUCAUGUUGAUUUUUUGUUGAUAUAAACUGUAAUUCUGUAGAAAAUUAUUCAUCUUUUUAAAUUUGACAUUUGGGUCUAGUAUCCCUUUAAUUUUUGUGAUGAUUUGUUAUAAACUUAUAAUGUUUUAACAUGAUAAACAGUUACAUUUCUAGUCAGACUCUGGAUGUACUUUAGCAGCAGUAUCAGCAUCCCCCUCUUGUAGUUUCGUUUUAUUAUAUACUCUAAAUAAAUUGUUACCCUGGGAUAUGAAACCAGAAUUUCAGUUUUAUUUGGUGCCAUAUCUUCUGUAACCUUGUUGAUGCACUAAAAACCCAAAUUAGAUGAAUUUUUCUAUAAUAAUGUUUUGUGACUUUUUUUUAGACUUUGUCAUGUGUUUUAAUGAUAUUUUUGAUCUGUAGAUAUUGUACUUAAUAAACUUAACAAGCCUUAUAUCUUGCACUGCCUUAUAAUGUUCACAUUUACUUAAUAUGAAGGAGCUUACUUUGUAACCAUACUUAUACCCUGCAAAAAAAAAAAAUGUCAUUGUAAAGAGCAUAUAUUGUGGGUAGUGUGGGGAAUAAGUAAAAAUUUCCAUGUUGAUAAGUUGACAAAAAAUGGCCUGAUCAUUUAUGAAUCAUGAUGAAAAUUAGGUAUAUGAAUUAUGUCCAAAAGAAGUUUUAAACUCGAUUUUGGGCUAUGAAAAGUGUUUCGCUUAUUUUGAGUACAGUGCCUACAUAUGGUCCUUUUUUCUCACAAAAAAAAGUCAAAUAAACUAUUUUUCAAACGCAUUUAAGAUAGUUAAGAGAGACAGUUUUGCCCACUGAACAUUUAUAUAACACAUAGUUAGUCCCCUUUCUGAACCCAAGACAGUUUCACGGUUAUAGAGUUGCUGUUUGUCAUCAGUCUAUAUGCAUUUUUUGUGUGUGCUUAUUUCACUGCCAUCCAUCGAGGAAUUUUCAUAUAACAUGGCACAAAUAUUUCCUAUAAUAAGACAUGUAUUAUGCAACACCCUUAGCCCAAAGGUCAUGGUCACAUUAGUAGGUUAUGGUCAACAUUGUUUUUUUCCCAGUCGGCUGCAUAGCACGUCCAUCCAUCAAUGAUAUGCAUGGAUACUUAAACAGUUAUUCAUAAACAUUUGACAUAACAAGCUGAUGUGUUUACAUUUUAUCAAAAAGACAAUAGAAAUGGACUGUUUCAUAUUGUUGAAAUGAGGGUAAAUAAAUUUAUUUACCCAUAGAAAUGUUUGACAUGGGCUAUAAAUGGUGAAAUAGACGGACAGCACAAGAGUGUUCCUUGGUUCUGAUUUUUCAGGUGGUCAAAACUAUCAACUAUUCUGCUUUAAUCAGGAUAAAAAGAAUACAACAUACAAGUUUAGUAAAUUGAUUAAUUAAGCUAUCAGUUAACAAAAAAUAUAAUUUAAAUUUUUAGUUACUGUGCCUACAUUUUGCAUUAAAAUUUACUGUGUAUAUAGCAUUCUGUUGUACAUGUACAUUAUCAUUGAAAAAUAUCAGGUCAUUAGGUUUUGCUGCAGUUAAGAUCAAUAGUUCCCUUCUUAAAGGAAAGACUGUUUUGCAUGGCAAUACUUUAUUCACUUUGGCAUACUUUAGGGGCACUGCGAGGCUGUCAUUAUUCAUCAGCAAGAGAAAACUUCACUGACGAUAACAUCAUGGACAGUUUAUUCAUGAUUUAUCAACAUAUGUCACAAGCAGCAUAUUACUAAUUGCAGGUCAGUCCAUUUAAACAAUUCAGGUGAAACUAUUUCCAGACAAGAAAUCACAGGGUCAUAAGUUUGAUCCUGUUCUCCAUGAUGAUUGAUAGACGACAUUGUUUCUGAAAUCAUUUGUCCUGCAUCUCAAAUUCUUGUGGGGAAGUUUGGAGAACAGGUUAGUACUGGUACAGAACCCAGGAAAUCUGGUUAGGGUAACUGCCUGCUUUUAUUUGACCGAAAUACUGUUUAAAAAUGGUGCUUUACCCAAAGCAAACAAACAGAUCCAGACAUGUAAAGGGUUUCUAAUAGAAAUUCAUACAAAUGACCUCAAUGAUGGUAGUAGAUAUGUAUAGCAUUUUGUUUUUUGAUCAUUCAAAGCAUUGCUAAGUUCUUAUUUGCGGCUUCUUAAUUUUCAGUAUAAUAACUAUGUUGCUAAAACUUAUCUACAGUUCCACUGCUUUUGCGAAAUAACUUUACGUCCUUGCACAUCAUGUACUAGGGUUGGAUAUUGUGUGCUGUUGGUUUUUGUUUUGAAUAUAGUUAGCCUUGUUGAAGGAAACUGCCUUUUGUUAACAAUAUGCAAGAAGGUUUUAGUGCUGUAUUAUUUCCUUUGUAAUUAACUUUUUCAGUGUACAAGAUGGCUAAUGUUCAAUAUCUAUGUAAUACAGUUAUAUUAUGUUUAACAUUCUGAUAAGUCUUGUAUAAGUAGAACUUUUAUAUCUUCUUUUGCAUGGCUAGUGUGUGAUUACUGCUUAGAAUUCUAGAUAGCAGGAGUAUUUGCAUUUCUUGAUUUUCAUUUUGAAUUUUUGAUGAACAUAUUUCAGCCUUAAGAUGUAAGUGUGACAUUGUUAUACUGCAAGGUCUAUUGGAGUCGGUCUGUUGUAAAAUGUUUAUGGAGCGAAAUACUCCUACAUAUUUAAGAGGUUGAAUGAAGCUCCAUACACAUGAUCACCAUGAAGUGUACAUGUAUGUGACUUUUUUUUGGAUUGACAAAGGUGCGUGCAUCACUUCAGGUUUGUGGUGUGAACUUCUUCCACAGUUCUAAACAGAACAAAAUGAAAAUUCAAGUCACCAAAAAGUGAAGAUAAUUUUAAUACCAAAUUUAGUAUAACUGGCAUAUUCUUUAUUGGUGCACCGUAAAACCCAAAUAAAUAGAUAAAUAAAAUUAUGAGGAUUGGGAACCCAUAUCAGCCCCCCUCUCCCUAUCCCUAAAAAUGAAAAAAACUUUUAUGUAUUAAAUCUUCAUCUAAUCAUUUUUACAUUUUUAAGAAGACAAAAUGUCUUCUUUAUUUUAAUAGAGCAGUAUUCAGAGGUGUUAAUCGCAUUAAAUGAUAGCUGUAGCUAAAAUUGUUGGCAUGAAAUCACAUGGUUUCAGUCUAAAUGGCUGUUUCAUGGGAGGCAUGAAUCCAAAAUUGUAAAUUAAAGAAUGAAAAAAUCGUGGGGAUUUCAUUUAUUUGAUGGGAUUUAAUUUUGUGGAUAUUACUGUGAAGUCAUUUAAUUCACAGUAUUAUUUCUGCCAAGUAAUUAUCAGGAAAAUUAUUCCCUUGUGAAUAAUUAUGUUUUUAUCAUAAAGUGACAUCACACAAUCGAUAUGAAAUUAGGUGUUGGUGGAAUCAGUUGAUGUUAAAGGUUUAUUUUUUACUUCCAAUAGUUUAAAAUAUGGGGGUGUAAUAGCACAUAUAUUUGUGUACUGGACCUGUAAAAUAUCAACAAAUUAUGUAUUUUCCGUAUGCAAUUUCAAAAUUCUUCAGAGUUUAGCUCGACAAUAGGAAGUAUUUGGAGAGCUAUCCUACUUGACCUGGUGUAAAAAUUUGAUGUACUUUCAUUUCUAUUAUUACGGAAUGGAUUUGCUUCAAACUUAAAAUAGUUGUUCCUUAUCAUAAUCACACAUCAUAUGUUACAAGGGUCAUAUCUCUAGCAAUUAUAUUUGGAUCCCUUUUUACAUAGAAUGUUUUUUGCACUUUCACUCUUAUCUUUGUUAUUUUUGAAUGGAUUUGUUUCAAACAUCAGAUGGGCCAAGAGUCAUAACUCCUGCACCAAUUCUUCAUGAAUUAUGACCCCUUUUUACUUAGAAUUUAAGGUUAGUUUCAAUAAACUUGCACUGUAUCUUUGUUAUUGCUUGAUUCAUUGGAUUCAAAUUUAAAAUAGUCCUUACACAGCAUUGUCCUCAUCAUAUGGUACAAGAUCCAUAACUGGCACAAAUAUUUCAUGAAUUAUAUACUCGGUCAUCUUACAAUUUCAGUUUAAUUUUGAUGCUUUUCCACCAUAUCUUUAUUGUUACUAAAUGGAUUUGAUUCAGACUUGAACUUUUUGUCCAACAUCUCCAAGCACAUCAUAUGACACCAGGUGCAUAUCUCUUGCACCAAUAAUAUAUGAAUUAUGUCCCCUUUUUACUUAGAAUUUCAGGUUAUAAUUAUUAUGCACUUUUGCUCUGUUUCAGUCACUACUAAAUGGAUUUGAUUCAAACUUAAAAUAGUUAUUCCCCCUUAUUAGCCAUGUUCCUUAUUAUUAGCCACAUGAUAUGACACAUGGUGCAUUAUCCUUGCAAAAAUAUUCCAUUGAUUAUGCCCCUUUUAUACUUAAUUAAUGUUAUGAUACACUUUCUCUAUAUAUCUGUUAUUACUAAAAACAUAUGACUCAGACUUAAUCUAUUGUCCAAUAUCAUCAUCUGCAUUGGAGUUAAUAAACACUCCAGUAAUAGCUCCAGAUUCCUCACUACCCAGCAUGGAAAUAGUUGAGCUUGCUGUCUCCUGCAACAGCUCUUGAUCUAUAGAUUUCAGUAAUUUAUGAAACGUUUACAAAACUUUAGUUAAGGAAUCGGACAGACCCCCUCCCCGAUCAUUUUUCAUCAUCAAGUUUGGUUCAAAUAAGUUGUAAGAAGUACAAAUGAUGUAAUAUAGAUAUAUAUAUAUAAAGUAAUUAUUUAUUACUUAUGGUUAAUUGGUUUUUAAGGUCAAGGAAAUUGGCUUUAGCAAGAAAAUGUUUUUUGAUCAUUAACUGUACCCUCUUAUUAACAGACCCUGAUAGGUUUUUAAACAGUACUGUUGAGGAACCAUAAUGUUUCAAGGCCAAAGUGGGCUUUAGCUGGAGAGUGCUUUUGGUCACUAACUGGAAAACUGCUGGGUCUACAUAACUAUAUGAAAUUUUAUAGGAUGUUUGCAUGUAUAUGCAGGGACCCUUUCAAAUCAUGAUCCAAACACCAGUUUGUGAUCAUUAUCUUGAGGAUUGACCAUAUGUCAAGGUCAUACUAACCUGACCUUUUUGUAAUCCGUAACUAGAGAGUCCUUGAGCUUACAGAUAUUAAACUUCAUUGUAAGAACUCUUGUGAGUUAUGAAACACUCAAGACUGUUUCAAAUGACCCUGUAUAGUUUUGUGUCACCAAGAUAUUGAUCAGUAGACAACUGCUAUAUUGACUUAAGGUUAAGUCAGUGAAAGGUCAAGGUCACAGUGACCUUAAGCUUGAAAAUGGUAUUUGAUCUGUAACUGAUAAAUAAAGUACAUGUAGCUUAAAUACACGAAUCUUCAUAUCAUAUUGAUAGUAAAUGUUUUCAAAUUAUCACUGUUUAUUACAAAUCAAUUGUUCAAAAAGCAAAUUUAUUAUUCUGCAUGCUUAAUAAAUGGUCUGCAUGUAAGAUUCAUAGGUCAUUAGAUUUGUAUUGAGAAAUAUGCAUGAGUUCUGCAGUGGGGAUGUUGGCCAACUUUAGGAGCAACUGUGCUUUCUGUAAAAUAAUUAAUAUUUGUAGGGAACUACUUUCCUUGGUCAAGUCAGUCUGCAUAAUUGUAUCCAAACAAACAAACUAGUAAAAGACUCAGCGGUUGAUUACCAUAAUAAGAUUAUUACAUCUCAUUCAGUGACUAUUUAACUAUAUUUCAUUUGCGAAAAGUUCUUUUUCUAUAGUGUAAUUUUGUAUAGAAACAAUUGUUUUGAGAUUGAUUUCAGACCAUUAUGGUCCUUUUGUUGAUUUUUUAGUGUAUUCAGUUUAAGAUUUUGUGUCAGAUUUUAAUUUGUUUAUGCUGUUUUGUAUCAGUUUGUAAAGACGGUGUGUUUGAUGUUAAUGCUAGUGGUGGAUGUCCUUAUUUAAGCCAUCUUUGCUAUAUACAUCUCUACUGCGUAUAACUGCUUCUACAUUAUAAGCUUAAUUCAGUAAAAAUAAAAUAUAGUCAUAAAUACAA